rnacentral:rRNA from 2 species
UACGGAAGGUCCAGGCGUUAUCCGGAUUUAUUGGGUUUAAAGGGAGCGUAGGCUGUUGGUUAAGCGUGUUGUGAAAUGUAGAUGCUCAACAUCUGAAUUGCAGCGCGAACUGUCCGACUUGAGUGCGCGGAAAGCAGGCGGAAUUCGUUGUGUAGCGGUGAAAUGCUUAGAUAUGACGAAGAACUCCGAUUGCGAAGGCAGCUUGCUGUAGCGUAACUGACGCUGAAGCUCGAAAGUGCGGGUAUCGAACAGG